rnacentral:rRNA from 1 species
CUUCGAGUCGUUGAUUUCACACUGCCGAGAAAAGCCUCUAGAUAGAAAAUAGGUGCCCGUACCGCAAACCGACACAGGUAGUCAAGAUGAGAAUUCUAAGGUGAGCGAGCGAACUCUCGUUAAGGAACUCGGCAAAAUGACCCCGUAACUUCGGGAGAAGGGGUGCUCUUUAGGGUUAACGCCCAGAAGAGCCGCAGUGAAUAGGCCCAAGCGACUGUUUAUCAAAAACACAGGUCUCUGCUAAACCGUAAGGUGAUGUAUAGGGGCUGACGCCUGCCCGGUGCUGGAAGGUUAAGAGGAGUGGUUAGCUUCUGCGAAGCUACGAAUCGAAGCCCCAGUAAACGGCGGCCGUAACUAUAACGGUCCUAAGGUAGCGAAAUUCCUUGUCGGGUAAGUUCCGACCCGCACGAAAGGCGUAACGAUUUGGGCACUGUCUCAACGAGAGACUCGGUGAAAUCAUAGUACCUGUGAAGAUGCAGGUUACCCGCGACAGGACGGAAAGACCCCGUGGAGCUUUACUGUAGCCUGAUAUUGAAAUUCGGCACAGCUUGUACAGGAUAGG